GACGAACGCUGGCGGCGUGCUUAACACAUGCAAGUCGAACGGAAAGGCCAUGCUUUUGUGGGGUGCUCGAGUGGCGCACGGGUGAGUAACACGUGAGUAACCUGCCCUUGACUUUGGGAUAACUUCAGGAAACUGGGGCUAAUACCGGAUAGGAGCUCCUGCUGCAUGGUGGGGGUUGGAAAGUUUCGGCGGUUGGGGAUGGACUCGCGGCUUAUCAGCUUGUUGGUGGGGUAGUGGCUUACAAAGUCUUUGACGGGUAGCCGACCUGAGAGGGUGAACGGCCACAAUGGUACUGAGAGACGGCCCAGACGGCUACGGUAGGCAGCAGUGGGGAAUAUGGCACAAUGGGCGGAAGCCAGAUGCAGCAACGCCGCGUGCGGGAUGACGGCCUUCGGGUUGUAAACCGCUGUCGCCUGUGACGAAGCGUGAGUGACGGUAAUGGGUAAAGAAGCACCGGCUAACUACGUG
rnacentral:rRNA from 1 species